CUUAGUUAGCCAUCCAAACGUGCUUAGCUGAGCCUCAGCACCGCUGAAAGGCCCUGAAGAAAGAAAGGGUGGGGGUGGGAAAGGAGCCGCUAUGUUUUGAGACUGGCCUUGGUGUGUCUUCCAGGCGAGCCUCCAACUCAGUUUCCUUCUGACUCACCCUCUUGAUCCUAGAUUACAGGCCCAAAUGAUAUCUUGUAUUUCUAUAGUUGCAAAACGUUGCGGAAAUAUAGACUCUCAAAUCUGAUUUCAGGGACCGCGAGAUAGCUCAGGAGGUAAAAGUCCUUCGUCACCAAGCUUGACAACAGGGAGCCCGAGGCCCCACACCCGCAUGGAGGAAGGAGAGAACUGAUUCCAGCCAGCAAGUUGUUUUCUAACCAACACGCGUACCCACAAAAUAAAUAAAAUAAAUGCUUUUUUGCAGGUCCUCCUUCAGUUUUCCCAAAGAGAAUUAAACUAAUCCUGAAUUACUAGUCGCCUUUUAAAAUGUUGACAGGGAAGUGCAUGAAAUCAGAACUUGAAAAGUCCCAGCACACCGCCUUUCUAGGAAGCAAACUGCAGCCCACUGCAACCUGAGGGGUAGAACCUCAACUCAUCUGAUUGGAAAUGAAGAAUCUCCACUUAGACUGGCCCACAGCUCCCUGUAUGGCUGAAGACAGCUUUGCAUCCCCCUGUCUCCACCACUGAGGGCUAAUAUUACAGAGGACAGUCAAGGAGCUGCUCUGAAUGCUGUCUUCCUGCCCGCCCCCCUCCCGCCAUGCUUUUCCUAUUGCCUUUGUGAAGUAUCAUCUGUCUCUCUUUAGGGAAUAUAAUUGGGGGGGGGUUAGUUCUCUGUCCCAUGUGACAAAUCAAUUCUAAUACCCCAGUCCUGUUUUUUUUCUUUAGUGACUAUUGGUACAAUUCGGAUACCUCUGUCUCAUUUGGUUUAUGCCGUGCUUCUGCCCAAAGAACUUCUCAGCAGAGUGUUAAAACUGGAUCCAGGCCUUGCCUGAUGUUCCUUCCCCAUCACUACCAAAAACAAAGACCAGAGCUAAGCAUCCUUACCAGGAUAUUAAACCAACUCAGAGAGAAUUGCCGCUCACUCAUUGCAUUUCCUGAUUUAACAUUGCUGGUUAAUUUGACAAUUUGACACAAACUUAGAGGUAUCUGAGAAGAUGGAUCUAAACCAAGAAAAAUGCCUUCAUAAAACUGGCCAGUAGGCAAGGCUGUGGGACAUUUUCUUGAUUAAUGACUGAUGUGGGAGAGCCUAAGUCAAUGCGGGCAAUACCAGCCUGAUCCGGAGUGGUGUAAGAAAGCAUCCUGCACAAGCCACCGAGGGCAAGCCAGUAAACACUCCUCCAUGACUUGUGAUUCCGCUCCUGCCUCAGGAUUUCUGCCCUGCUUGAUUCCUGCCCUACUUUCCUCGGAGAAGCAGUGGGACCUCAGAGCUGUGAGCUAAAAUAAACCCUUUCUUCCCUAAGUUA